GUAUAAAAUCUAAGCCUUGUAGAACACUAGUUGAAUCCAUGCCAUUGUCAUGGAAAAUGUGCAAAAAGUUAAUCAAGGAACUAUUCUUAAAGUUUAACUAUUAGAAAGCAAAAAUUUUGCUAAGUUAUUCAAUCAUGUGAUUUAUAUAGAGAUUUAUAUACAGAUAGUUGUUGCCCAGAAAUCAAUGCUUGCUUGAAAAUCAACAUAGUGCAAGUUACAAAACCAUGGAGUACUCAAACUGCAAGUGCAAAUAAGACUAGAGUCACAGCAAGGGAGACACCAUAAUUAAUAAACACAUUGUAAACAAUGUAAUCACCAAGAGAGACAGCCUCAUCACUGUGUACUUUACCAAAAGACCCCCCUCUAGCAGCAACUAUUAUGGCGCAUUGUGUAUGGGGCUUACCUAGGACAGCCAAUCAAAAGGCCAAUUUGUUCUGUGGUUUAUCCCAUUGAUUUAACUCAUGGUUGGUGCUUCAGGAAUAUUUAACAGUGAAUUAGACACAUAGCCCUCAUCAGAACAGUGUUAUGUAUGUACUUUACAGCACUCUUCUUGAAUUGAACUUGUGCUUACUUCGUGCUUUCCACCUCACAACCAGCGAAAGGGUAUACCCCCUCCUGUUUCAAAGAACAAAUAACAAACAAAAGCAAAGUAAAACAACUCCUCAAUUCGCUACAUCACAGAGGAGUGUCUCCAACUGAAAAGGCUCAUUACGUGAAGAAUCGCAUUCCAGGCUGAACUGUGUUGUGGUUUUGCAGAAAGCUUCAAGUGAAUAUCUGUCGAUGCUUCGAAAUGGUGGCUUGAAAUAGAUUGUAGGAUGAGUCAUUAAUGGCUGGUGGAGGUUCGCAACAGAUAACAGUCACAAACACCGAGUUUUAAAUCUAAUUUUGGUUGGCGAUUCGCUGAGAGAAGACUGGUUGAGAAUCUACCUGAAUUUGUUGCAGAGGCGUUACAAUGUCCACAAUCCCACAAGCGUGUGCAGCCCCUGGGCAGCGCCAUUGCCAUGGUGGUAGCGUCCGCUCCAGCUGCACAGGUUUCAAGCUCCCCGGAGAGUGUCGAGUAAAGGGACACAUGAAAGCAUGGAGAGGGUCACAAACAAACAGGUCGCAGGUUUUUGUUUUUCGUGCUUCUGGGUGGAGGGUGAAAGCGGCCAGUGUGCCAGCCAAGCUCUCUUUCUUCCGCCCUCGAGCUUCGCUCCUUGUGAGGUUCCGUCAUGCAAGUGGAGCUUGGAAACCUUCUAUGCCCGCUUCAAAACAGGAAGGCAACAAAAACAUAGACAGAAUCGAAUCAGGAAAGCUUGAUUGUACUGUUUGUCGGUUUUGUAGGCUUUUACUGCGUAUUUGCACUAUUUGCUUCUUGGUGACUAGUGCGGUUGGCACCUGCUUAUGAGUCCGCGUGAGCUUCAUUGGUCUGCCUUUUGGCAGCUAGUUCUUUGAAUCUCCCCUAGCGAUCGGACAUGGUUUUUAGUGGGAACAAUUGAGCCGAAACAAGGUAACAGCUCUACAUGCAUCAGGGUUGUGGAUGGUACCAGAGGAACGUUCAACGCUACCGUUAAUUGCGUUUGAUUAUCAGGUUUUCUAUCAUCGAGAGGAGCACUUCUAAAGGUAUUGCAAGUGGUUACAUAUCUUCUUGCAAAGCGUCAACAAUCAUAAAAUCUUUGGAAGCUUUCGCCUUCUCCGCAUCAUUUGUAACUGUAUCUCGCGCUGAGGAUGACAAAGGCGGCGGUAUGAACGGCAAAAGUUUAGAGCCCAUGCACCUCGAAUUGGGCUAAAGGCGAAUAAUUUCGGUUCUAUUAAAGCCCCAUCAAUCAUGCAUGAACUGCACAUUCCAGCAGGAAAUCUCUCUUGAUAGACUGUCUCAAGGGUGCUUACAGGCGCCAAUCGUGAUUAACAAUCAAAGGCGGCUAUUCUUCUUUGAAUUUCUACGCUCCUGAGCCAUAUCCCACAAUUGACUGUAAAAGUGGACUAGAGUUUGUGCUAGACUAGGACAGGCAAACUCUCACCAACAGGGAAUACACGCGUUUUACAGAAGAAAUGACAUGUUCUGAUGAUAAGCUCCAAGAUAACCCUCGCUGUGCCGACUUGCUUUCUAGUGACGGUAGCUUCGAGCGAACCACCUCCUAGUUUCAGUUGGUCUAAGAAAAACAUAGAUUGCCACCGCUUUUGCAACUGAAUUUGGAUACUAACGUGCGAGUCUAUUGCCUGUCAUUCACGCA